GCCAGAUGGCUGCCCUGGGAGAAGCGGCGGCCGCACUCCUCGCAGGCGAAGGGCCGCUCGCCGGAGUGCACGCGCGAGUGCGCCACCAGCCCCGGACAGGAGCUGCCAUCUAUGAACCCCUAGAGCCCCGGACAUGGAGCUAGACUACUCUCCUGUUUCCUUGUGUGGACUCACCAGAAAAUGUGGCCACUGCUCCCUACAGUGCCUUAUGCUGCCCUCUCCCUGUGUCUGCUGUUUCCUAUGCCACAUCCGAGCUGCACAGCAACUCUGAGAAGCUGGACAAACAGACACUGAGCUCCCUGUUUAACAGAUGAAGCAACUGUGAGACAUCAAAGAUGACGAGACCUGCCCAAGCCUCCAUUAGAGGAAAUGUCUCUUCUCCCAGUCAGGAGUUAACCACCUGCUGUAACUUCCUCUUUAGCAUCGCCAGAGGAAACUAAGUAUGACUGUGCCUUCACUCUGCAGAAAGAAAAUGAGUGGCAAAGGAGUUGCGAAGGGAUUCCUGAGCCUUUAUGCCAGCUGGAAGCUUAAGGCCUUGGUAUUUGAGACUUCACCCUUCAAAAUGUCUUGGAGGAUGGCCCAGCAACCAGCCAAAUGGCCCAAUGGCCUAGCCCAGUGGAGACGGUCUCAGCUUUUGACAAGCUAGCCGGAGAAAGGGCUGGACAGGAAGGGGCCCACUGGACAGCGAAUAUUGAUAGGGCCCCUGGGAGGAUCAAUUUUCCCCUCCAACAGUGCCUGGCUCCCAUUAUCAGAUUAGAUGCAAAGUGGGCUGGCAUGCCAGGGGGUGACAGGAACAGUGUCUCCAGAAAUCCUCUGUGAAGACACCCAAGUAUUGUUCAGAAGUGGCCCUGUAUCUGGAAGAGGGAAAACUGCACCCACUUCUUGCAGACAUACAGUUCCAGCUCCCCCCACAGGACUUGCUCAUACAUCCAACAAAUAUUUAAUCAGUGCCCACCAUCUGCCACUGUGCCAGGUGCCCGGCCUCAUCAUGAGUCAGGCAGAGGUGGUCUGUGCAGUUUUCCCACAAUGUGAGAGGGUGCUGAGAAGACUUUUAACGCUUAUUUAACUACGGAAAUAACUCUUGGUUUGGUACCUACUACAAAAUAAAAACAAGCGCUUGUUGAUAAUUUCUGGAUGGAUGACUGUGGAAAGCUGGAGGAGACUGAGGAUCAAUUUGCUCUAAUGAACCUUCCCUUGACUAUCAUCUCCGUUACCUCCUGCCGCAUCCCUACGGCAAAUAUGCAAGACUCUCACGCAGCUAAUUUCCAGGGGUUUGCAGUCUGGGGAGGAAGCAGAAAGCACAUCCCUCACUGACCCUGAGGAGGGGCAAAUCUCUGGUAGCAGUCACAGGUACGUGCUGUACACACUUCCCAUCCUUUGAGCCUUCCCAGCUGGAGAGCACCAAGAGAACGCAGUUGGGGAGGCCCCGAAAGAUGAAGGGUUGUUGAGCUUGAAGGCAGUGAAAAAGUAAAUGGAAGAAAGCUCUCUGCCCUCCACUGCCUAAAUGCAGGAUAUAGAUUUAGAAGGAUAAAAGGGGUCUGCUCCCUCUCUCGACCAGGGAAAAGUUAACCACUGAAGACAACUUUAGACUCUUAUGGGCCUGGAGCUGGAACCAGAGGAAUGGACAUGAAGGCGCUUUACUAACUCUAUUUAUCUGCCAGUUACUUACCUUUCUACAAGUUCUCCCCUUAGACACUCAAAGUUCUUUUCCUUUGUCCUGUCGCUUCCCUAAAACUUGGCUUUUCUUUGUUGAAGAUGCUAUACAAGCUGGAAUUCAAAGCUACCACUUUGAGAACUACUCAAUUCCUGCGUGUCUCCCAGGCAGAUGUGAAAUACACAUGUUAAUAAACUUCCACUGGUUUUUCUCUUGUUAA
rnacentral:lncRNA from 1 species